GACGAACGCUGGCGGCGUGCCUAAUACAUGCAAGUCGAACGCACUCUCGUUUAGAUUGAAGGAGUUUGCUCCUGAUUGAUAAACAUUUGAGUGAGUGGCGGACGGGUGAGUAACACGUGGGUAACCUGCCCUAAAGUGGGGGAUAACAUUUGGAAACAGAUGCUAAUACCGCAUAAAACCUAACACCGCAUGGUGUAGGGUUGAGAGAUGGUUUCGGCUAUCACUUUAGGAUGGACCCGCGUAGCAUUAGUUAGUUGGUGAGGUAAAGGCUCACCAAGACCGUGAUGCAUAGCCGAUCUGAGAGGGUAAUCGGCCACACUGGGACUGAGACACGGCCCAGACUCCUACGGGAGGCAGCAGUAGGGAAUCUUCCACAAUGGACGAAAGUCUGAUGGAGCAACGCCGCGUGAGUGAAGAAGGCUUUCGGAUCGUAAAACUCUGUUGUUGGAGAAGAAUGUAUCUGAUAGUAACUGCUCAGGUAGUGACGGUAUCAAACCAGAAAGCCACGGCUAACUACGUG
rnacentral:rRNA from 1 species